rnacentral:rRNA from 1 species
UUAAGCGACUAAGCGUACACGGUGGAUGCCCUGGCAGUCAGAGGCGAUGAAGGACGUGCUAAUCUGCGAUAAGCGUCGGUAAGGUGAUAUGAACCGUUAUAACCGGCGAUUUCCGAAUGGGGAAACCCAGUGUGAUUCGUCACACUAUCAUUAACUGAAUCCAUAGGUUAAUGAGGCGAACCGGGGGAACUGAAACAUCUAAGUACCCCGAGGAAAAGAAAUCAACCGAGAUUCCCCCAGUAGCGGCGAGCGAACGGGGAGGAGCCCAGAGCCUGAAUCAGUGUGUGUGUUAGUGGAAGCGUCUGGAAAGGCGCGCGAUACAGGGUGACAGCCCCGUACACAAAAAUACACAUAUUGUGAGCUCGAUGAGUAGGGCGGGACACGUGGUAUCCUGUCUGAAUAUGGGGGGACCAUCCUCCAAGGCUAAAUACUCCUGACUGACCGAUAGUGAACCAGUACCGUGAGGGAAAGGCGAAAAGAACCCCGGCGAGGGGAGUGAAAAAGAACCUGAAACCGUGUACGUACAAGCAGUGGGAGCACGCUUAGGCGUGUGACUGCGUACCUUUUGUAUAAUGGGUCAGCGACUUAUAUUCUGUAGCAAGGUUAACCGAAUAGGGGAGCCGAAGGGAAACCGAGUCUUAACUGGGCGUUAAGUUGCAGGGUAUAGACCCGAAACCCGGUGAUCUAGCCAUGGGCAGGUUGAAGGUUGGGUAACACUAACUGGAGGACCGAACCGACUAAUGUUGAAAAAUUAGCGGAUGACUUGUGGCUGGGGGUGAAAGGCCAAUCAAACCGGGAGAUAGCUGGUUCUCCCCGAAAGCUAUUUAGGUAGCGCCUCGUGAAUUCAUCUCCGGGGGUAGAGCACUGUUUCGGCAAGGGGGUCAUCCCGACUUACCAACCCGAUGCAAACUGCGAAUACCGGAGAAUGUUAUCACGGGAGACACACGGCGGGUGCUAACGUCCGUCGUGAAGAGGGAAACAACCCAGACCGCCAGCUAAGGUCCCAAAGUCAUGGUUAAGUGGGAAACGAUGUGGGAAGGCCCAGACAGCCAGGAUGUUGGCUUAGAAGCAGCCAUCAUUUAAAGAAAGCGUAAUAGCUCACUGGUCGAGUCGGCCUGCGCGGAAGAUGUAACGGGGCUAAACCAUGCACCGAAGCUGCGGCAGCGACGCUUAUGCGUUGUUGGGUAGGGGAGCGUUCUGUAAGCCUGCGAAGGUGUGCUGUGAGGCAUGCUGGAGGUAUCAGAAGUGCGAAUGCUGACAUAAGUAACGAUAAAGCGGGUGAAAAGCCCGCUCGCCGGAAGACCAAGGGUUCCUGUCCAACGUUAAUCGGGGCAGGGUGAGUCGACCCCUAAGGCGAGGCCGAAAGGCGUAGUCGAUGGGAAACAGGUUAAUAUUCCUGUACUUGGUGUUACUGCGAAGGGGGGACGGAGAAGGCUAUGUUGGCCGGGCGACGGUUGUCCCGGUUUAAGCGUGUAGGCUGGUUUUCCAGGCAAAUCCGGAAAAUCAAGGCUGAGGCGUGAUGACGAGGCACUACGGUGCUGAAGCAACAAAUGCCCUGCUUCCAGGAAAAGCCUCUAAGCAUCAGGUAACAUCAAAUCGUACCCCAAACCGACACAGGUGGUCAGGUAGAGAAUACCAAGGCGCUUGAGAGAACUCGGGUGAAGGAACUAGGCAAAAUGGUGCCGUAACUUCGGGAGAAGGCACGCUGAUAUGUAGGUGAAGUCCCUUGCGGAUGGAGCUGAAAUCAGUCGAAGAUACCAGCUGGCUGCAACUGUUUAUUAAAAACACAGCACUGUGCAAACACGAAAGUGGACGUAUACGGUGUGACGCCUGCCCGGUGCCGGAAGGUUAAUUGAUGGGGUCAGCGCAAGCGAAGCUCUUGAUCGAAGCCCCGGUAAACGGCGGCCGUAACUAUAACGGUCCUAAGGUAGCGAAAUUCCUUGUCGGGUAAGUUCCGACCUGCACGAAUGGCGUAAUGAUGGCCAGGCUGUCUCCACCCGAGACUCAGUGAAAUUGAACUCGCUGUGAAGAUGCAGUGUACCCGCGGCAAGACGGAAAGACCCCGUGAACCUUUACUAUAGCUUGACACUGAACAUUGAGCCUUGAUGUGUAGGAUAGGUGGGAGGCUUUGAAGUGUGGACGCCAGUCUGCAUGGAGCCGGCCUUGAAAUACCACCCUUUAAUGUUUGAUGUUCUAACGUGGACCCGUGAUCCGGGUUGCGGACAGUGUCUGGUGGGUAGUUUGACUGGGGCGGUCUCCUCCUAAAGAGUAACGGAGGAGCACGAAGGUUGGCUAAUCCUGGUCGGACAUCAGGAGGUUAGUGCAAUGGCAUAAGCCAGCUUGACUGCGAGCGUGACGGCGCGAGCAGGUGCGAAAGCAGGUCAUAGUGAUCCGGUGGUUCUGAAUGGAAGGGCCAUCGCUCAACGGAUAAAAGGUACUCCGGGGAUAACAGGCUGAUACCGCCCAAGAGUUCAUAUCGACGGCGGUGUUUGGCACCUCGAUGUCGGCUCAUCACAUCCUGGGGCUGAAGUAGGUCCCAAGGGUAUGGCUGUUCGCCAUUUAAAGUGGUACGCGAGCUGGGUUUAGAACGUCGUGAGACAGUUCGGUCCCUAUCUGCCGUGGGCGCUGGAGAACUGAGGGGGGCUGCUCCUAGUACGAGAGGACCGGAGUGGACGCAUCACUGGUGUUCGGGUUGUCAUGCCAAUGGCACUGCCCGGUAGCUAAAUGCGGAAGAGAUAAGUGCUGAAAGCAUCUAAGCACGAAACUUGCCCCGAGAUGAGUUCUCCCUGACCCUUUAAGGGUCCUGAAGGAACGUUGAAGACGACGACGUUGAUAGGCCGGGUGUGUAAGCGCAGCGAUGCGUUGAGCUAACCGGUACUAAUGAACCGUGAGGCUUAACCUU